rnacentral:rRNA from 1 species
CAGUCGCCACGGUAAUACGUAGGGUGCGAGCGUUAAUCGGAAUUACUGGGCGUAAAGCGUGCGCAGGCGGUUCGGAAAGAGAGAUGUGAAAUCCCAGGGCUUAACCUUGGAACUGCAUUUUUAACUACCGGACUAGAGUGUGUCAGAGGGAGGUGGAAUUCCGCGUGUAGCAGUGAAAUGCGUAGAGAUGCGGAGGAACACCGAUGGCGAAGGCAGCCUCCUGGGAUAACACUGACGCUCAUGCACGAAAGCGUGGGGAGCAAACAGGAUUAGAUACCCCUGUAGUCCCUGUCUCUUAUAC